CACGGGGUUUGCCCUGUGUUCCCCACAUCUUUUGAGGGCAGACAAGGUCAGUACAAGCCACGGUGUGAACCAUGGAGUGCCCAGAGCAUCCCUGGCUCUCCCAGCCCAGGCAGGAGGGCAGGAGGUGGGGGCUGGUCCCCCACUUUGGAGACUCCAGCGCUGCCGGCGGCUUCCUGGAGCCUGGUUGUUGUAAAUCCCAAAUGUGCACUUUUUUUUUCCAGCCUAAUUUUCUCAAGAAAUGACCCAGUUCUAGCACUCGGGAACUGGCAUGGGUCCUACUGGCAAAUGUUUCUCAUCUGUUUCCAAUGAUGCGUCCAGUGUGACCUUUUCUGCUUAAGUAGCUUACACAAUGAAAAUACAUGAAUGUCAAAUCCUAAUCUUGCAUAACUCUGAAAGCAGGACCAUACAUUUACCAGCACCAAGGGACUUUUUUUCCCCAUCCUUUGCAGAAAGUAAGGAGGAAACAGCCAGCACUGUGCAAUUGCAGCACAGGGAGAACUCACCCAUAAGCCUCUCAUCCCCAGAAUUCACAAGGUGCUCCAGCCUCCUGUCCCGUGUGCUGCAGGACGGCUCCCCUGAGGCCACGCACCUUCCCCGACCUCGGAAUGGCUCUCGGGUGGCUCUGGGCUCUCUCCACCGCGCUGCUGUGGGGCUGCCUGCUCUCUUCCUCCUCCUCCUCCUCCUCCCACAUCACAGGUAAAGCCCGGCGUGCUCUUCGUGUUGCUUCACAUGUAACUCGGGUCCUUUAUGAAGUUAAUCCUCCAACCAGCGCUUUUCUUGUGUGUGUGUGUGUUACAGCGAGGGGCUGGUUUAUAAACCUGUACUCGAUUAUGUAAAUGUAUCAUGUGUUCAUGGCUAUUUUUCUGAAUAUUUUCAAAAGGAGCAGAAAUUGCCUUUGGUGCACAGUGAAUAUUAUGUUUGAUAUGGAGUUAUCAAAUAUAAACACCAUUUGGAUAUAUAAAUGCUCCUGAGCGUGGUCCCAGCCAGGUGGACUGUAUGAGGUGUAAGAAACACAAGGCUUAUUCAUACUUGGUCAAUAAUAGUUUUUUCCUAAAAAAAAAAAUACUGCUCUGCAAGCGAUCAUCCAUAGGAAUGGCACCCUUUGCUUCAACCCCUGGAGCACCUCUUUCCUGCACCCCA
rnacentral:lncRNA from 1 species